CACGGAGUUAGCCGAUCCUUAUUCUCAGAGUACAUUCAGCUCAUUACACGUAAUGAGGUUUAUUCCCCUGCAAAAGCAGUUUACAACCCAUAGGGCCGUCUUCCUGCACGCGGCAUGGCUGGUUACAGACUUCCGUCCAUUGACCCAAUAUUCCUUACUGCUGCCUCCCGUAGGAGUCUGGUCCGUGUCUCAGUACCAGUGUGGGGGGUCAUCCUCUCAGAUCCCCUAAACAUCGUAGCCUUGGUAUGCCGUUACCACACCAACUAGCUAAUGUUCCGCAUGCCCAUCUUUGUCCUAUAAAUAUUUGAUAAUAAACGAUGCCGUUUCAUUAUGUUAUGCGGUCUUAAUCUCUCUUUCGAGAGGCUAUCCCCCUGACAAAGGUAGGUUACAUACGUGUUACGCACCCGGUGCGCCACUCUCAUGGAAAGCAAGCUCUCCAAUCCCGUCCGACUUGCAUGUAUUAGGCCUGCCGCUAGCGUUCAUCCUGAGCCAGGA
rnacentral:rRNA from 1 species